CUGACCUCAAAUCGGGUAGGACUACCCGCUGAACUUAAGCAUAUCAAUAAGCGGAGGAAAAGAAACUAACAAGGAUUCCCCUAGUAACUGCGAGUGAAGCGGGAAAAGCUCAAAUUUAAAAUCUGGCGGUUUUGGCCGUCCGAGUUGUAGUCUGGAGAAGUGCUUUCCGCGUUGGACCGUGUACAAGUCUCCUGGAACGGAGCGUCAUAGAGGGUGAGAAUCCCGUCUUUGACACGGACUACCAGUGCUUUGUGAUGCGCUCUCAAAGAGUCGAGUUGUUUGGGAAUGCAGCUCAAAAUGGGUGGUGAAUUCCAUCUAAAGCUAAAUAUUGGCGAGAGACCGAUAGCGAACAAGUACCGUGAGGGAAAGAUGAAAAGCACUUUGGAAAGAGAGUUAAACAGUACGUGAAAUUGCUGAAAGGGAAACGCUUGAAGUCAGUCGCGUCGUCCGGAACUCAGCCUUGCCUCGGCUUGGUGCACUUUCCGGUUGACGGGCCAGCAUCGAUUUUGAACGGCGGAUAAAGGUUUGAGGAAUGUGGCACCCUCGGGUGUGUUAUAGCCUCAGAUUGUAUACGUCGGUUGGGAUCGAGGAACUCAGC
rnacentral:rRNA from 1 species